rnacentral:precursor_RNA from 1 species
CUAGCACGAUGGAUGUAAUGGCACGCUAAGCAUGAUAACAGGAAGGGCGAGCAAUUACAUCCACCGAGUCACUA